rnacentral:rRNA from 1 species
CGAGGGGUGCAAGCGUUAUCCGGAUUCACUGGGUUUAAAGGGUGCGUAGGCGGAUAGGUAAGUCCGUGGUGAAAUCCUGCAGCUUAACUGCAGAACUGCCGUGGAUACUAUCUAUCUUGAAUGUCGUGGAGGUUAGCAGAAUAUGUCAUGUAGCGGUGAAAUGCUUAGAUAUGACAUAGAAUACCCAUUGCGAAGGCAGCUAACUACGCGAUAAUUGACGCUGAUGCACGAAAGCGUGGGGAUCAAACAGGAUUAGAUACCCUGGUAGUCCACGCCCUAAACGAUGAUUACUCGACAUUGGCGAUACACAGUCAGUGUCUGAGCGAAAGCAUUAAGUAAUCCACCUGGGAAGUACGAUCGCAAGAUUG